UGUUACUUUGGCAGAUUAGUGUAGUAAAUUUAGAAUUUAUUUAUGUAAAUUUUUUUUACAGGUAAUA
rnacentral:tRNA from 1 species